rnacentral:rRNA from 1 species
UACGUAGGAGACAAACGUUAUCCGGAGUUACUGGGCGUAAAGGGCGCGUAGGUGGUAGUGUAAGUCUGGCGUGAAAUUUUUCGGCUUAACCGGGAAAGGUCGUCGGAUACUGCACAACUAGAGGACGGUAGAGGCGUGUAGAAUUCCGGGUGUAGUGGUGAAAUGCGUAGAGAUGCGGAGGAACACCAGUGGCGAAGGCGGCACGCUGGGCCGUUCCUGACACUGAUGCGCGACAGCGUGGGGAGCAAACAGG